GAUGAACGCUGGCGGCGUGCCUAAUACAUGCAAGUCGAGCGAACGGACGAGAAGCUUGCUUCUCUGAUGUUAGCGGCGGACGGGUGAGUAACACGUGGAUAACCUACCUAUAAGACUGGGAUAACUUCGGGAAACCGGAGCUAAUACCGGAUAAUAUUUUGAACCGCAUGGUUCAAAAGUGAAAGACAGUCUUGCUGUCACUUAUAGAUGGAUCCGCGCUGCAUUAGCUAGUUGGUAAGGUAACGGCUUACCAAGGCAACGAUGCAUAGCCGACCUGAGAGGGUGAUCGGCCACACUGGAACUGGGACACGGUCCAGACUCCUACGGGAGGCAGCAGUAGGGAAUCUUCCGCAAUGGGCGAAGGCCUGACGGAGCAACGCCGCGUGAGUGAUGAAGGUCUUCGGAUCGUAAAACUCUGUUAUUAGGGAAGAACAUAUGUGUAAGUAACUGUGCACAUCUUGACGGUACCUAAUCAGAAAGCCCCGGCUAACUACGUGCCAGCCGCCGCGGUAAUACGUAGGUGGCAAGCGUUAUCCGGAAUUAUUGGGCGUAAAGCGCGCGUAGGCGGUUUUUUAGUCUGAUGUGAAAGCCCACGGCUCAACCGUGGAGGGUCAUUGGAAACUGGAAAACUUGAGUGCAGAAGAGGAAAGUGGAAUUCCAUGUGUAGCGGUGAAAUGCGCAGAGAUAUGGAGGAACACCAGUGGCGAAGGCGACUUUCUGGUCUGUAACUGACGCUGAUGUGCGAAAGCGUGGGGAUCAAACAGGAUUAGAUACCCUGGUAGUCCACGCCGUAAACGAUGAGUGCUAAGUGUUAGGGGGUUUCCGCCCCUUAGUGCUGCAGCUAACGCAUUAAGCACUCCGCCUGGGGAGUACGACCGCAAGGUUGAAACUCAAAGGAAUUGACGGGGACCCGCACAAGCGGUGGAGCAUGUGGUUUAAUUCGAAGCAACGCGAAGAACCUUACCAAAUCUUGACAUCCUUUGACAACUCUAGAGAUAGAGCCUUCCCCUUCGGGGGACAAAGUGACAGGUGGUGCAUGGUUGUCGUCAGCUCGUGUCGUGAGAUGUUGGGUUAAGUCCCGCAACGAGCGCAACCCUUAAGCUUAGUUGCCAUCAUUAAGUUGGGCACUCUAAGUUGACUGCCGGUGACAAACCGGAGGAAGGUGGGGAUGACGUCAAAUCAUCAUGCCCCUUAUGAUUUGGGCUACACACGUGCUACAAUGGACAAUACAAAGGGCAGCGAAACCGCGAGGUCAAGCAAAUCCCAUAAAGUUGUUCUCAGUUCGGAUUGUAGUCUGCAACUCGACUACAUGAAGCUGGAAUCGCUAGUAAUCGUAGAUCAGCAUGCUACGGUGAAUACGUUCCCGGGUCU
rnacentral:rRNA from 1 species